UUACACUUUCUUUUUGUUGGAAUUUUAAAUUCUAUGGAUUUAUUAGGACUAUUUUUGAUUGCUCCUCAGAUCUCUGCAGGGUAAAUUGCGACAUCUAGCUAGACUGUCCAAUCAGAUCUUUCUCUCUC